rnacentral:lncRNA from 1 species
UUGGUUAAAAGGGAAUUAGUGUAUUGACAAUGGUGGAAGGAAGCAUAGAAUGAGAGGGAAGGACCAAGUUGUGUUUUGAUCGAGUUAUGAGCUCCACAUGUAUGCCUAAGGGGAUGGUUGAUGGCUUGAAGAUGACUUGUGUGUGGAGCACGACCACCCCCUCUUUACAAGUUCCCAACCCUGUAUUGGAUGCUCGCAUGGGUGCAUAAAUGGGGUAGAUUUCCCAUCAUUUGGGUGACGAAAGUUUUGGCCAAAUUUUUUACAGAAAUGAUCUGGUAGUAAUUACCACGAUUUGGCACGUUUCAUGACCCAAAACACAUCCAGGUUCAGCAAUUUUGUGAUGGAGGGGGAUAUGCGCCCUCUACUCUAGACAUGGUUCUACCACUUGUUGCUUGUCUAUGUUGUAAUGUUUAAAAAGUGCUUCCUCUUUAUCCAUGCCUUUGCCAUCAUGCAAAGUCACCAAAUUGAUUACAAUCCAAGGUUCCUUGACCAUAAUUUCUUGUCAGGCUGCGAAUAAAAUCAUCCUAUGAUGAGCGUAUCCUGGAUGAAAAUGAGCUCAUUUUGCUACAAUCGGCCAACUUUCGGUGUUUCUUGGAUAAGUUCCUCCCCAAUUGUGUCCACUCACCUUGAUGGUUGGAAUGGUAUGAUUAAUAGGUCUCCUCUAGGCAUCAUUUGGGUAGGCUUUAUACCAAGUCUUCUUUUCUUCAUUUUCUGCCUUUGCACACUGUUUAAGAAACAGUUGAACCAACUUAUAUCAUGUGGGUAAAACAACUCAGACGUGCCUCACCAUCUUACAAGGAGCUGAUAAGAGGGAGAGUUGGGGAGGGUGAAGGGCAUGGGUGCCCAAAGAACAAAACAAAGGGUAUCACAAUUAUGGAAUUUCAAUCUAGGAAUGAUUGGAAGAAAUAAUCCCGAGUCCCCACAGUCCAAAAGAAAGAUAUCCCCUGAACCAAACCCUGUAGAAACGUGGAGCCAAAA